CUGCUUCCCACUACUCUAUGUUGAUCUUCUCUUCUCUUUCUUCGUUUCCCACAUCUCUGUCUGCUCCUUCAUUACUCCCGCAGCCCUCUCAACCCAUAAAGUCAUCUCAAUCACUACUUCCAAAGUUCGAAGAUCCAUCACAUGUAAUAGAUUAUAUUCCACCGGAAGUGCUAAGCAGACGAGUUAUGUUGAGCGAUCGGUUUGAAUUUUAGCAUGAAAGGCAAAAAAAUUGUAAAACCGAGUGAUUCCUUAUGUGAAGGUAUUAUGGAGUUACCAGGAGGAGUGAGAGGCAACAUGGGAGCUUUAGAAUGAAAUGCGAGAAUCGUAUUCGUAUUUAUUUGAGCAGCCGACUUGAGGUAUAUUUUAAGUUUCGAAGACAACUUUUUAAAGGAAGGGAGGAUGUGAUAUACUGGACCUUAGCAAAUAGACAAAGUUGCAGUAUGAAUUUUUAGUCAGCAUUUACCUACAAUGCUUGACUAAGUUAAGGACGUUUGGCAUGAAAUAGAUGUAAAAACGGACUCAAAAACUUAAGAUUUAGCUUGUGUGCCUCUUAUGGACCUAAUGGUGUAGACCAUCGGCGUUGUCAACUGUACCCACUGGACUAUUGAUUAUAGUUCUCAUAU
rnacentral:lncRNA from 1 species